UAUCACUGAAGAACAUUGGACAUAGAUGCUAAUAUGUAACACUUUGCCUUGUUAUCUUCGUUCAUCCAUUUUUCAAGUGCGGCUCGUUGAUUAAGGGAUGGACGAGCAGGUAACACAGGUGCUUCCUGAUCAAGGACAUGGAUAAAUUUUUUGGAGCUGAGAACGAUUCUCAGAUUCCAAAGCCAGUUUUUAUAAUUCGUAUUGGUCAACCUAUCAGUGUCAAGGAUACGGGCUAAGGGAUUGAAACUCGAUAUGGAUAUUUGUAAAGAGAAUAGUUUCUAGUUAGAUGUUUGUACUUAUAAAAUUAUUUAUUCU
rnacentral:lncRNA from 1 species